ACAGUGACAAAUUGGAGGACAUAGGAUGCAGAGCACAGGAUGGGGGGGUUCUGGAAUGUCCAGAAGAGCUGGCUAUCUUAUCGUGGCGAAAUUAAAUAGGGACAAAGCUAACUGACAACAUUUGUUGCCUAAAGGAAAAAAUGCCACUUCGAUAGACCUUGUACUGAAGUCAGCUGGACUGGCAAUAGGAUAAGGGUCUUCAUACAUCUGAAGGCAGCAAGUGUGAGUGGAGGCAUCAAGGAAGGGCUGUGUGGCAUUCACCUCUCUAGGAGAAUCUCUCAAAGGUUCCAGAUUUGCCAGAUUAUUAUUUCUGUGGUCAUCAGGAUUUUUGGAGCCCAAUUUCUAGAGAAAGCCAACAGUAUUCCGUAUGGAUGUGUCAAGACUGCCUCCAAGGAAUCCUUAGAUGAGAAACAGUUGCUGCCUCUGCAGGACCAAGAAUCACUGGGAACAGGGGAAUCACACCACCUGCUAAGGAAGAGCUGGAGGCAAACUUCUCCAGGAGUGGAAAUAUCUGGAGAUGAGAAGAUAUUUGCCCCUGCCUUUUCAGUCCUAGAGAGGAAAGAUCUCUGGCUGCAAAUAAGUAGCUGAAGUUGAGCUGGCAGGAGCAGGACUGCCAGAUGAGUUAAGCAACAUCUACGUGGAGACACCUGCUAGGCAGAUUUAAUCAAGCUUGCUGUACAUUCUAGUUCUUGCUUGCUACUAAAAACCUUGUCCAGUGCAUCUUGAAUGUCCACUGUAUGAGUCCAAAACUGUGCCUCAAACCUUUGGACUACCUUAUCACAUGCACAUACCUUUUUCCCUUGUACUAAGAAUCUUGACAUGGGUCAGUUUCAGACCUCCAGUAUACUUUAGGUAAGCUACUUUCCUUCUCUGGGCAGAUCCAGACUUCCAGUUUACACCAGGGCAAACACAGGCCACCAUGAUUUCUGGUGGGCAGGAAUGCAUGGUAUCAUCCUCAACCCACCUCCAACCAGCAGCUAAUGCAACUUCUGUCAAUGUUUCCUGGUUCGGUGUCAAAUGUAGUGUUAUCCAUCUUGCUCUGGCUCAAGCUGUAAUGUCCAGUUUGUGUGGUGCACUUCAAUUUCUUAUAAAAAACCUGUCCAGUCCAAUUGGCUACUGCAGCCUCUGGCAGGAAUGCCCCCUCUCCUUUCUAGUUUCUGCCCAGCAUGGUUAAUGUGCUCUAGGAUGCCAGACUCUGUGGUCCUAUUGCACAGACCAGACCUGUGAACUAUGCCAAUCGUUUAUUUUGUUUCCCCUUCUUUAAAAAAAACAAAUACCCAGCAAACAAUGGCAUGUUGACCCUGGGCUUCUUUGUUUCAGUAAGUUUACCAGUCAGCUGCUGAAAGAUGCAUUCCACUUUUUGGUUCUCUGAUGUCUCAGCCUCUGGAAGAGACACUUUUUCAGAAUCCCUGACUAGUGAAAUCCUGUACCCACUGGUUUUCACAAAGAUUUCAAUAAGUCAUAGUUACCUGUGAUAACCUCACCACUCACCCCCUUCCAUUCUACAAUGCUAGGUCAAAAUAGUGAAGUUCUAUUCUAUUCCAGGAGCCCUAUAGUAUUAUUAUAGUACUGUCAUAUUGUACCAUAGGAAGAUACUUCAACAUUUCAUCAUAUAGUACUAUUGGAUUAAAGAACUAAAUAUUUCAGUGUUUCACUGUAGAAACUUUGGACCUCUCAAGGAUUCUAUUCCUUGGGUUAUUUACUGGGUCAAUGUCCAAACUACGCACUGUGUAAGAAAAAAAGAAUAUCGGGUGAUACCAUUGAUGAAACAAUGAAAUGAUAAAUAUACAUGAUGUGUGAUGGCCAAA